ensembl:lncRNA
UAACAAUGUGUGCCACAGUUUCUAACAAUGUGCACCACAGUUUCUAGCAUUAAUGUGCACCACAGUUUUUAGUAUUAUUGUGCACUAUAGUUUCUAUAAUGAAUGUGCACCACAGUUUCUAUCAUGAAUGUGCACCACUGUUUCUAGCAUUAACGUGCACCACAGCUUCUAGCAAUGUGCACCACAGUUUCUAACAUUAAUGUGCACCACAGUUUCUAGUAUUAAUGUGCACCACAGUUUCUAGUAUUAAUGUGCACCACAGUUUCUAACAAUGUGCACCACAGUUUCUAGCAUUAAUGUGCACCACAGUUUCUAGCAUUAAUGUGCACCAUGAUUUCUAUAAUGAAUGUGCACCACAGUUUCUAUCAUUAAUGUGCACCACAGUUUCUA